rnacentral:lncRNA from 1 species
UAUAUAUAUAUAUAUAGUUUUGUAUUUACAAAAUAAAUAUGAAAUUAAAAAAUAUAAUGUAUAUAUAAAAUUGUGGAAUUCUUACAAAGGAAGAGAUCAUAGUAACUUUGUCUUUGGAAUGUAAAUGUACAAACAGCUGUCUAAAACAUUAAAUUUAAACACUAGGAUGUAAACACUACAUAUGGUGUAAUGCAAUGAGAUCUAAGAGACCAUGAAGCCUGUAUCCUAGCUUGAACUGGCCCAGAAAGUUUAAGGUGGUACCCAACACUUUCACUAAAAUUAAUUUGGCUCGUUUAAUUUUCAUAAAAUUUUGCCAAAGUAUUUAUUUUGACACUUUAACAAAAAUAUAAAAAUUUUAAAAAUUUUGAACUAACCGUUUUGUCAGAAAAAUUACACUGGUUAUAUAGCAAUUUGACAAACACCAAUUUUGAUCAUUGAGAAGCUUAAUAUUCCCUUUACAACACAACGUAAUUAAAACGUUUGGCUGACUUUACAGAGUUAUCUCCCUGUAUUGUUAGGUACCACCUUAAGUUAUCUACUGAAAAUGAUGAGAGCAGAUUCUAUGGAGAACUCACGUUUAAUCAAAAGCUUUUUUAGAAAAUCAGCGUACCCUCUUUUCCUACCCCAUUUCAUUACAAAGUUAAGUGUGUUUCUUUCUUUUUUCUUGAUAUCAGUACAUUUUAUACUACUGCCAUACAAAUGAUUAUGAUUUGUAAUAUUUAACUUAUAAAUUGUAUAAUUCUACUACAAAUACUUCAUAUGCUUCCUGAAUAACAUAAUGAAAAUUGCAUAGUUUUUACAUAUGAUUUUUCUUAGUUAUUAAUUAGCGUCAAUGUGUUGCAAUAUGGAAUAUUUUUACCAAUAAUUUCCCAUUAAAAUAAAAACAUAUACUCUACAUGUAAAUUAAAUUGUAUAUAUUCACUCUUUUCUCUCUAGACUUAUAAGGUUCUUAAGGUGGUACCCAACACGUUAACUAAAAUUAAUUUGGCUCGUUUAAUUUUCAUAAAAUUUUGACAAAGUAUUUACUUUGACCCUUUGACAAAAAUAUAAAAAUUUCAAAAAAAUUUAACCAACCAUUUUAUCAGAAAAAGUACACUGGUUAUUUAGCAGUUUGACAAACACUUAUUUUGAUCAUCGAGAAGCUUAAUAUUAUCUAAACAACACAACGUAUUUAAAACGUUUAGCUGAUUAUACAGAGUUAUCUCCCUGUAGUGUUAGGUACCACCUUAAAGACUACAAUGAGGUGGUGUCUUCCUUUAUUCCUA